rnacentral:rRNA from 2 species
GAUGAACGCUGGCGGUGUGCCUAAUACAUGCAAGUCGAACGCGUUGGCCCAAUUGAUUGAUGGUGCUUGCACCUGAUUGAUUUUGGUCGCCAACGAGUGGCGGACGGGUGAGUAACACGUAGGUAACCUGCCCAGAAGCGGGGGACAACAUUUGGAAACAGAUGCUAAUACCGCAUAACAGCGUUGUUCGCAUGAACAACGCUUAAAAGAUGGCUUCUCGCUAUCACUUCUGGAUGGACCUGCGGUGCAUUAGCUUGUUGGUGGGGUAACGGCCUACCAAGGCGAUGAUGCAUAGCCGAGUUGAGAGACUGAUCGGCCACAAUGGGACUGAGACACGGCCCAUACUCCUACGGGAGGCAGCAGUAGGGAAUCUUCCACAAUGGGCGCAAGCCUGAUGGAGCAACACCGCGUGAGUGAAGAAGGGUUUCGGCUCGUAAAGCUCUGUUGUUAAAGAAGAACACGUAUGAGAGUAACUGUUCAUACGUUGACGGUAUUUAACCAGAAAGUCACGGCUAACUACGUGCCAGCAGCCGCGGUAAUACGUAGGUGGCAAGCGUUAUCCGGAUUUAUUGGGCGUAAAGAGAGUGCAGGCGGUUUUCUAAGUCUGAUGUGAAAGCCUUCGGCUUAACCGGAGAAGUGCAUCGGAAACUGGAUAACUUGAGUGCAGAAGAGGGUAGUGGAACUCCAUGUGUAGCGGUGGAAUGCGUAGGUAUAUGGAAGAACACCAGUGGCGAAGGCGGCUACCUGGUCUGCAACUGACGCUGAGACUCGAAAGCAUGGGUAGCGAACAGGAUUAGAUACCCUGGUAGUCCAUGCCGUAAACGAUGAGUGCUAGGUGUUGGAGGGUUUCCGCCCUUCAGUGCCGGAGCUAACGCAUUAAGCACUCCGCCUGGGGAGUACGACCGCAAGGUUGAAACUCAAAGGAAUUGACGGGGGCCCGCACAAGCGGUGGAGCAUGUGGUUUAAUUCGAAGCUACGCGAAGAACCUUACCAGGUCUUGACAUCUUGCGCCAACCCUAGAGAUAGGGCGUUUCCUUCGGGAACGCAAUGACAGGUGGUGCAUGGUCGUCGUCAGCUCGUGUCGUGAGAUGUUGGGUUAAGUCCCGCAACGAGCGCAACCCUUGUUGCUAGUUGCCAGCAUUAAGUUGGGCACUCUAGUGAGACUGCCGGUGACAAACCGGAGGAAGGUGGGGACGACGUCAGAUCAUCAUGCCCCUUAUGACCUGGGCUACACACGUGCUACAAUGGACGGUACAACGAGUCGCGAACUCGCGAGGGCAAGCAAAUCUCUUAAAACCGUUCUCAGUUCGGACUGCAGGCUGCAACUCGCCUGCACGAAGUCGGAAUCGCUAGUAAUCGCGGAUCAGCAUGCCGCGGUGAAUACGUUCCCGGGCCUUGUACACACCGCCCGUCACACCAUGAGAGUUUGUAACACCCAAAGUCGGUGGGGUAACCUUUUAGGAGCCAGCCGCCUAAGGUGGGACAGAUGAUUAGGGUG